rnacentral:rRNA from 1 species
UACGUAGGGGGGCAGCGUUGUCCGGAUUUACUGGGCGUAAAGCGCGUGUAGGCGGCCACGCCAGGUCCGUUGUGAAACUAAGAGGCUCAACCUCUAGACGUCGACGGAAACCGUGUGGCUAGAGUCCGGAAGAGGAGAGUGGAAUUCCUGGUGUAGCGGUGAAAUGCGCAGAUAUCAGGAAGAACACCAAUGGCGAAGGCAGCUCUCUGGGACGGUACUGACGCUGAGACGCGAAAGCGUGGGGAGCGAACAGG